rnacentral:rRNA from 1 species
UGCAAGUCGAACGAACCCUUCGGGGUGAGUGGCGCACGGGUGCGUAACGCGUGGGAACCUGCCUUUAGGUUCGGAAUAACUCAGAGAAAUUUGAGCUAAUACCGGAUAAUGUCUUCGGACCAAAGAUUUAUCGCCUUUAGAUGGGCCCGCGUUAGAUUAGAUAGUUGGUGGGGUAAUGGCCUACCAAGUCGACGAUCUAUAGCUGGUCUGAGAGGAUGAUCAGCCACACUGGGACUGAGACACGGCCCAGACUCCUACGGGAGGCAGCAGUGGGGAAUAUUGGACAAUGGGCGAAAGCCUGAUCCAGCAAUGCCGCGUGAGUGAUGAAGGCCUUAGGGUUGUAAAGCUCUUUUACUAGGGAUGAUAAUGACAGUACCUAGAGAAUAAGCUCCGGCUAACUCCGUGCCAGCAGCCGCGGUAAUACGGAGGGAGCUAGCGUUGUUCGGAAUUACUGGGCGUAAAGAGAACGUAGGCGGCUAUCCAAGUCAGGGGUGAAAUCCCGGGGCUCAACCCCGGAACUGCCCUUGAAACUAGGUAGCUAGAAUUCUGGAGAGGUUAGUGGAAUUCCGAGUGUAGAGGUGAAAUUCGUAGAUAUUCGGAAGAACACCAGUGGCGAAGGCGACUGACUGGACAGAUAUUGACGCUGAGGUUCGAAAGCGUGGGGAGCAAACA